UUAAGGUGAAACCGCGAAAGGCUCAUUAAAUCAGAUAUGGUUCCUUAGAUYGUACCCACAAUUACUUGGAUAACUGUGGUAAUUCUAGAGCUAAUACAUGCAAACAGAGCUCCGACCGGAGACGGAAGGAGUGCUUUUAUUAGAUCAAAACCAAUCGGUGGCGGGUUCGCCCGUUAUCGUACAACUUGGUGACUCUGAAUAACUUUACGCUGAUCGCACGGUCAUCGCACCGGCGACGCAUCUUUCAAAUGUCUGCCUUAUCAACUGUCGAUGGUAGGUUCUGCGCCUACCAUGGUUGUAACGGGUAACGGGGAAUCAGGGUUCGAUUCCGGAGAGGGAGCCUGAGAAACGGCUACCACAUCCAAGGAAGGCAGCAGGCGCGCAAAUUACCCACUCCCGGCACGGGGAGGUAGUGACGAAAAAUAACGAUACGGGACUCAUCCGAGGCCCCGUAAUCGGAAUGAGUACACUCUAAACCCUUUAACGAGGAUCAAUUGGAGGGCAAGUCUGGUGCC
rnacentral:rRNA from 1 species